rnacentral:rRNA from 1 species
GACGAACGCUUUCCUCUUUCUUAACACCUGCAAGUCGAACGGAAAGGCCCUGCUUUUGUGGGGUGCUCGAGUGGCGAACGGGUGAGUAACACGUGAGUAACCUGCCCUUGACUUUGGGAUAACUUCAGGAAACUGGGGCUAAUACCGGAUAGGAGCUCCUGCUGCAUGGUGGGGGUUGGAAAGUUUCGGCGGUUGGGGAUGGACUCGCGGCUUAUCAGCUUGUUGGUGGGGUAGUGGCUUACCAAGGCUUUGACGGUGAGCCGGCCUGAGAGGGUGACCUGCCACAUUGGGACUGAGAUACGGCCCAGACUCCUACGGGAGGCAGCAGUGGGGAAUAUUGCACAAUGGGCGGAAGCCUGAUGCAGCAACGCCGCGUGCGGGAUGACGGCCUUCGGGUUGUAAACCGCUUUCGCCUGUGACGAAGCGUGAGUGACGGUAAUGGGUAAAGAAGCAACGGCUAACUACGUG